rnacentral:rRNA from 1 species
AUGGUGCCUUAUAGACUGACAACUUUUGAAUUCAGGGGUGCUUUGAAACUCCAGCACAAGUACUAUGGGUCCUUUGUUGUCACUCACAAAGUAGGCAGUGCUACAUACAAGCUAUCAUUCCCAAAACAUGUCAAGAUACACCCUGUCUUCCAUGUUAGUCAAUUGAAGAAGCAUAUUGGCUCUAAAGCAAUUCCUAGCCCAAAUCUUCCAGUGGUAAAUGCAGAUGGCACGCUUAAAACAUCACCAGCGGCAGUGCUAGAAGUGAGGCAAGUUCCCAGGAACAAUCUACCUGUGGUUCAAUGGCUUAUUCAAUGGGAGAAUUUGUCACCUGCAGAGGUCACAUGGGAGGAUGACUACUUUGUGAAGUACACGUUCCAGAGUUCUUCAGAACCACCACGGAGGACUAGCAUUCGAGGGCUGCACCGCCAUGAGGACACGUCAGCUUUCAAGGGGGGGGAGAUAUGA